rnacentral:rRNA from 1 species
ACGAACGCUGGCGGCGUGCUUAACACAUGCAAGUCGAACGAGGUCCAUGGAGUAGCAAUACUCCGGAAGACCUAGUGGCGAACGGGUGCGUAACACGUGAGGAACUUGUCCCGGUCUCUGGGAUAACAGUUGGAAACGACUGCUAAUACCGGAUGACGUCGGAGCGUCGCAUGGCGCGCUGACGAAGGGGUUACCGGAUCGGGAGAGCCUCGCGGCCUAUCAGCUUGUUGGCGGGGUAACGGCCCACCAAGGCAUCGACGGGUAGCUGGUCUGAGAGGAUGAUCAGCCACACUGGGACUGAGACACGGCCCAGACUCCUACGGGAGGCAGCAGUGGGGAAUCUUGCGCAAUGGGCGAAAGCCUGACGCAGCAACGCCGCGUGCGGGAAGAAGGCCCUCGGGUUGUAAACCGCUUUCAGCAGGAACGAAAAUGACGGUAGCAUAUGAAUAAGCACCGGCUAACUCCGU